UGGACCUCAUCCGGGCUCCUACGGGAGCCAGACUUCUUCUCCAACUACAGGCAGACUUCAUACGGGCUCCUACGGGAGCCGGACUCCUUCUCCGACUGCAGGCAGACUUCAUCCGAGCUCCUACGGGAGCUGGACUUCUUCUCCAACUGCAGGCAGACCUCAUCCGAGCUCCUACGGGAGCUGGACUUCUUCUCCGACUGUAGGUAGACUUCAUCCGAGCUCCUACGGGAGCC
rnacentral:lncRNA from 1 species